rnacentral:tRNA from 1 species
GGAGGCGUGCCGGAGCGGCCGAACGGGACCGCCUCGAAAGCGGUUAGGGCUCGAGAGGGUCCUCGUGCGUUCAAAUCGCACCGCCUCCGCCA